rnacentral:tRNA from 1 species
CAAAAAGUAGCUUAACUAAAGCACUCAACUUACAAUUGAACAAUGUUAGCAAGAUCCUAACCUUUUUGA